GAAAAAGAAAAUGGAAAUUAAGUGUAAAUAUAAAUAUAUAUAUUUAUAUAUUAAAUAGUUUUAUUAAAUUAAUUAAAGAAAAGAAAGAAAAGAAAGGACAAAAAGAAGAAAAGGAGAAGAAAAUUUCAUUUUCUCUUUUCUUCUUCUUCUUCUCUUCCCUUCACCGCCAAGUUUGAAGACAUCCAAGUUCCCUUUAUUUUUUUAUCUUUUUCCUUCUUCAAUUUGCAGAGAACUUCUAAGAGAGAGUUUGGAAGAAGAAGAGAAAUUUUACUAGAAUUUUUAGGUUGAAGAAGAGGAGGAGAACUCAAGCAAAGUGUAUUAAUAGCUGAAUUUUAGUUCAUUCUGCACAUCACUGGUUUUUAAUUCGGUUUGAACUCUUCAAAAGGAAUUAAGAGGGCAGUUGGUUUUCACUCGAAAUCAGGAGGUCUCUGGUUUUUCUUGUAUUUCAGAGUGUAUUGGUGGAGUUCGAAUCUCUAUUUGGAACAAGUUAAAGAGGUCGUGUGCGCGCGAUUCUGGAAGUGGUUCUGUUUUGAGGGUUAUAUGUGUUUAUGCACGGGGAAUCAGAUUUAUAGAACACUCAUUUUGGUUUGAUAUAAUGAAGAGUUUGAUAUAAAGAACACUCAUUUUGGUUAAGUAUUGAGAAAGUUAUAGUCCUUUGAAGUUUAUGUUAGAAAUCUGGAAAUUUUAGAGAAUUGUUGAAAUAGGAUUUUAUUUCUUAAGCUUUGUUUUCGUGAGCGUCAUCUUUGGUGCGACAUGUUAUGUAUAUCUUUAGGAAACCAGAAUGUUUAGGGUUUUAAUACUCGGUUGGGUUGUUGGCAGGCCGAGAAGAAUUAAACCGAGCUUAUAGACCAAGGAUCUAGCCCAAGACUGUGAGUGACAAAACCAACUUUGAAAUACUUUCCAUAACUGUUAUUAUGAUUGAAUGCGAUAAAUGUUUAUUUACGAAGCCAUGAAAGGUAUUUGAAUUUCAUGACUAUUUUCAUCUAUACAUUUGGAGACUAGAUUUCUUAAAGAAAUUUAUGCUAGCACGUAGAUAUUAAAUGUUUGGAAAGUAUUUAAACCACAAUAUUUUAAGCAAAGCAUGAAUUAGUAUGAAGUUUUGUUUUAAGAACUACAACUUUCCACGAAAGAGCUGAGUAAAGUUCGAGCUUUGUGUAAAAUUUAUAAGCAGGCAUGUUUUAAUAUUUUAUGAUGAUUUAUGAAAUUUUCAUUAACUACAUGACUGAGAUCUUGAUCCUGAGGCUAGAGAUUACCGUGUGCACACUGGUUAGAUUUCGUUGUUGACGUUGAGUGUACUCCGCAACAACGAUGCUGUCGUGAGUGCUGGGUGGGCCCCACUACGACAAAGACGAUGGGAGUGCUGGGCGGGCCCCACUACAUCGUAGUGCUUGUAAACGUUGUUGUACUAGGUGUACCCUACACAACGUAGAUUCGUCAUGUUAGUUAAAAUGCUUCGAUAUACUUGAUAUGCCUUGCUAGAUUUCAAUGAUGAACAUGCUGUGUAUUUAAGGAAGCUAUUCUUACUACUACACAUUUACAUUUGCGACUUGUAUAAACAGAUUUAUAUGUGUAAAGUUUUCACGUGCUCUUAUUUUUAAAUUCAUA